GAUGAACGCUGGCGGCGUGCCUAAUACAUGCAAGUCGAGCGAACGGACGAGAAGCUUUCUUCUCUGAUGUUAACGGCGGACGGGUGAGUAACACGGGGAUAACCUACCUAUAAGACUUGGAUAACUUCGGGAAACCGGAGCUAAUACCGGGUAAUAUUUUGAACCGCAUGGUUCAAAAGUUAAAGACGGUCUUGCUGUCACUUAUAGAUGGAUCCGCUCUGCAUUAGCUAGUUGUUAAGGUAACGGCUUACCAAGGCAACGAUGCAUAGCCGACCUGAGAGGGUGAUCGGCCACACUGGAAAUGAGACACGGUCCAGACUACUACGGGAGGCAGCAGUAGGGAAUCUUCCGCAAUGGGCGAAAGCCUGACGGAGCAACGCCGCGUGAGUGAUGAAGGUCUUCGGAUCGUAAAACUCUGUUAUUAGGGAAGAACAUAUGUGUAAGUAACUGUGCACAUCUUGACGGUACCUAAUCAGAAAGCCACGGCUAACUACGUG
rnacentral:rRNA from 1 species